rnacentral:rRNA from 1 species
AACGAACGCUGGCGGCAUGCCUAACACAUGCAAGUCGAACGAGACCUUCGGGUCUAGUGGCGCACGGGUGCGUAACGCGUGGGAAUCUGCCCUUUGCUUCGGAAUAACACAGAGAAAUUUGUGCUAAUACCGGAUAAUGUCGCAAGACCAAAGAUUUAUCGGCAAAGGAUGAGCCCGCGUAAGAUUAGGUAGUUGGUGGGGUAAUGGCCUACCAAGCCGACGAUCUUUAGCUGGUCUGAGAGGAUGAUCAGCCACACUGGGACUGAGACACGGCCCAGACUCCUACGGGAGGCAGCAGUGGGGAAUAUUGGACAAUGGGCGAAAGCCUGAUCCAGCAAUGCCGCGUGAGUGAUGAAGGCCUUAGGGUUGUAAAGCUCUUUUACCCGGGAUGAUAAUGACAGUACCGGGAGAAUAAGCUCCGGCUAACUCCGUG